rnacentral:rRNA from 1 species
CCGCUGCGAAAGUGGGGAGACAGGUAGAGAAGGAAGGUGGUGAGGUAAUGGUAGGGGUGUAGCGACGACUAAAUGGUACGCCUCCGAGGUAAUGGUAGGGGUGUAGCGACUACUAAAGGGUACGCCUCCUCCAGGACACUGUGGCUACGGGAGUGGGUCGACGGCUGCCGCCGUGAAAAACAAGCACGGGUUCGCGGGUCACUCCAGUGGAGAGUGGAGGGAAGAUACCACGGUGGCGGGGUUGGGUAUGUGUCGAAGGAGAAGGGGUGAGGGUACCAUCGUCUAGACUCGUCAUGUCCCAAGGAAGCCAGGACCACCAAGCCUGACUCCACACGCCGGAGACGAGGGAAUAGAAGACCGCUGAUCCUCGUACCACCGACCACGGUGUUAGAGAUAAUCGGUAGAUACCACCGUUGCUAUAGUCCUUCGAGAGAGAAAGAGAGAGAUCAAUCAGGAUCAAACGGUCUUCUCUUCGCUACGGGAUAACAAAUACAUACCACUACUACUCAGGUACAACAACAGAUUGAUUAAGUGAGACACCGCCAGGUCUAAUAUACGAACUCUUCUAGCUGUCGCAGCUGUUCUCAUAGUCGACCAUAGAGAUGUAGGAGAAGAUGUUGGUAAAUCCGUGUUGUCACCGACCCGACGCCCCAAGUCAGCUGUGUACCACACAGGCGUAAAAGGAUAGAUGGACUUCCCGGAUGUACUCGCAACGGUUAUAGUCACACGAAACACGACGUCUUUACCUAUAAGUUUUUGGAGAUCGUGUACUAAAGGACCCUUAAGGACCGAUACAUGUCAAGUGGAGAGCAUAAGCUUCUAUAUAGCUGGACGAUCGAGUACUAGUCCUUUCUGUACGUUCUCCUGCUCCUUGGUACUUCGGUCACCAAGCACAGUUACUCUAUAAAAUACAUUACCACUGACCUAGCAACCUCUACGUAAAAUACAUAGUAAAACAUUACAACACAGACUCUUUUACUUGGUAUAACAUUACCUACUUGAUAAAUCUGCACUUUAAUUAAUUACACAAUAACAAACCAAUACCGAAUGAUAACAGUACUCUACGUGUAAUAUCAA